UGAUAGUGCAGCCCUAAGUGGGUGGUAAACUCCAUCUAAGGCUAAAUAUGACCACGAGACCGAUAGCGAACAAGUACCGUGAGGGAAAGUUGAAAAGCACUUUGAAGAGAGAGUUCAAGAGUACGUGAAACCGUUUAGGGGUAAACCUGAGAAACCCGAAAGGUCGAAGGGAGAAAUUCAUUCGCGUUUCGCAGUCGGCGUGAGACGAUCGAGUGACGGAAUCCGUCCUUGGGCGUUUUCUGCACCUUUUGUUUUUCGAUCCGAUAGCGAACGCGUGCACUUUUCUCCUGGUAGGACGUCGCGAUCCGUUGGGUGUCGGUCUACGGCUCACGGUGGAGCCCGGAUGUGCGGCUUGCCGUCACGUCCGGACCCGUGUGUCCCGGCUGACUCGCUCGACGGUAUACGAAAGGU
rnacentral:rRNA from 1 species